rnacentral:rRNA from 1 species
UACGUAGGGUGCAAGCGUUGUCCGGAAUUAUUGGGCGUAAAGAGCUCGUAGGCGGUCUGUCGCGUCUGCUGUGAAAACUCAGGGCUUAACCCUGAGCUUGCAGUGGGUACGGGCAGACUAGAGUGCGGUAGGGGAGACUGGAAUUCCUGGUGUAGCGGUGAAAUGCGCAGAUAUCAGGAGGAACACCGGUGGCGAAGGCGGGUCUCUGGGCCGAUACUGACGCUGAGGAGCGAAAGCGUGGGGAGCAAGCAGG